CUAAACCCGCGUACAUGCCACCGGGGCAUCCCGGAGGCAGGAAAGGCUUCGGCCGGACAGGGAUGGGCAUGCGGCGCAUUAGGCAGUAGGCGGGGUAACGGCCCACCUAACCGACGAUGCGUAGGGGUUCUGAGAGGAAGGUCCCCCACACUGGUACUGAGACACGGACCAGACUCCUACGGGAGGCAGCAGUGAGGAAUAUUGGUCAAUGGUCGGGAGACUGAACCAGCCAAGCCGCGUGAGGGAUGAAGGUACAGAGUAUCGUAAACCUCUUUUGUCAGGGAACAAAGGCGGGGACGCGUCCCCGGAUGAGUGUACCUGAAGAAAAAGCAUCGGCUAACUCCGUGCCAGCAGCCGCGGUAAUACGGAGGAUGCGAGCGUUAUCCGGAUUUAUUGGGUUUAAAGGGUGCGCAGGCGGUCUGUUAAGUCAGCGGUCAAAGCCCGGGGCUCAACCCCGGCCCGCCGUUGAAACUGGCAGUCUCGAGUUGGAGAGAAGUAUGCGGAAUGCGCGGUGUAGCGGUGAAAUGCAUAGAUAUCGCGCAGAACUCCGAUUGCGAAGGCAGCAUGCCGGCUCCACACUGACGCUGAGGCACGAAAGCGUGGGUAUCGAGCAGGAUUAGAUACCCUGGUAGUCCACGCAGUAAACGAUGAAUGCUGGCUGUCCGGGGGGACUGACCCCUGGGUGGCGAAGCGAAAGCGAUAAGCAUUCCACCUGGGGAGUACGCCGGCAACGGUGAAACUCAAAGGAAUUGACGG
rnacentral:rRNA from 1 species